CUUUCCUAGAGGGGACACGAGGCGGGAUGGCACCUGCUUGCCGUUUCGCCCAUUUUCCUCCCUCCCUCCCAGUCGAGCCAGCCGACCAGCGAUCUCGUGGGUGUCGCGGUGGUGGCUUCGCCAGAGUCUGUCCAGCCGCCCCCCCUCAGCAACUCCGAGGUGCAGAUGACAAGUGUCUCAGCUGAAACGACUUAAAAUGAUCGAUUUUGACUGUCUCGUAUACUUUUCGUUGUUAAGAGCAAAUAGGUAAAAAAAAAUAAGAAAAAGAAGAAAGGAAGAAAGAAAGAAGAAGAAAGAGAGAAAGAGAGAAAGAAAGAAAGAAAGAAAGAAAGAAAGAAAGAAAGAAAGAAAGAAAGAAAGAAAGAAAAAAAGGUUUUUAUAUGUAAACCUUUACAACAGCUUCCAAAAUCUUUGAUGACCUGAAACUUUGAAGUUGUGCUAGGUUAAUUGACAAAUUGGGUUGAAGUCAUCUGAUGCCUACAUCUUUUCAACAGAAGGUCUUUGUUGUUCUGAUGCUGUUGCAAAAAUAUGGUCCAGCUUCCAGAAGAUUCACGAAAAGGACUUUUGACAAAUACCGGUUUCUGGUCACCCUGAGAUCAUAAAACUCCAGUAGGAAUUGCCAGAACUAAUGAAAAAGCUGCAUCUAAACAGAACAAAAAGGAACAUGGAGCUGAAUGAGUGAAGGACAAUGAUGACCAUUUUUUUAAUGACUCUUGUUCAAAACAUUGUUGAUCCCCUCAUGUUUGCUCUUCCAGAUUGAAGGAAACUUUGUCUCUAGCGAUAUCUGUAACUUAUAGAAAUCUUAUGAAAAUAUUGUUUGUCAACAAAUUAAAAUAUUUAUCU